UCACAACAGCACAGGAUUUUACAGAAGGAGAAAAAAAAAAUACAUCUUAGUGAUACAGCUAAGGUGUUAACCUGAUUUGCUUCUAUGUACAAUUUUUCAUAUUCAUGGUCUGCCAACUCUGCAAAGAAGGGAAGGUAGAGCCUUGCACCAUCUUUGGCUCAAGCUUGGUUCAGUAUGACUGCAUUCUUCGGAGCUGAGAUGUAACCGAUUAUGGAUCACUUUGCCACUUGUACAAAAUUUGGCCAGCACUGCACCAUCCAUAUGUAGAACCAUUUGUUGCAAAAUGGAGAAAUUCUGAAUAUUGGAGAGAUUCAUCUUCAAAGUCCACUGGAUUCUAAAAAUCUCAAAGCAAAUGGGAAAGUGUCCCACUGGUUUAGAAAUGGAAUUGGAAGCCUGCAGGAGAAAGCAAGGAUUUUUAUUGUAGGGAUACCUGUCACAUGAAAAGCCCAUAUGGCCUGGAGUGUCACACUUCAUUUACCUCAACAAUGCAAACAAGAGCUUGAGAAGAAUCUCACCAUUUGACAGCCCAAAUGGCUCUUUAGCAACAACUUCUAGUUCUCUGGCCAGGCCACAUUAAAUGACAGUUUUAUUGAAAGAAAAAGAAACCAAAAAAUAACAUGGAGUAUUGUCAUGAGAUUGAGACAUGUUGGGGGUUGAGGGUCAGAGGUGAAUUUUAACUGUUCUCAUGUUCAACAAAGAGGCCAAAAUCCUAUGCUAUUCUCUUGUGGGGAUAAUGGAAAUGAGUUAAUAUGAUAUUGAGGAAAACUUCAUUUUUUUUUUCUUUAGGAAUAUCAAGGUGGAGGAGGAUUAAUGACCCACAAAUAGAAGAGAUAAAGAUCAGUGUUUCUUUUGCAUAGAAAGAAUAUUUGGUGCUAUUGGAGCACCCCCUGGAAAAGUUGCUAAUGGGACCUGAGGGCAGGGGGUGAAUAAUUCCUCCUCUGCUUGGUAUUGAGCUCUUCUCCCCAUGUUGGAUUUUCUAUAAAAUGAUUCACUAAGAGUGUGGGUUAUAUUAUUCAAUUGUAUGUUAGCAGCAGAACAAGAGUUUUGGGGGAACAAUGGAAGGAUAGGGUAGAAAGGAUUGGAAAAUUGGAGGAUAAAGCUAUUAUAAACCAUAAUGAGGGACUCCAAAGCCAUGGUCAAGGAAAAGAGUUUUCUUUUUGGUAUUUUUUUGUUUUAUAAUCACUGGGACUCUUGAGUAGUCAUUGGGCAAGAUGUUGCCAUGUGCUUCACAUUGGCAAAGACGAAUCUAAUUCAUUCAAUUACUGACCAAGAGGUAGAACAGCAGAAAUGAUGGUUCUCUGGCUUGUUUAUGGAUGCAGGACUUAAUGAAGUCAAGAAGCAUUUAUUCAGUUCUUAAUAUCUGCCAGGCACUGUGUUCAGUGCUAGGUAUAGGAUACUUCAGCAGAGGGAAGACACCAGAAUUCAGGUGAUUGAGAAAGGUUCUAGUAGAAGAAGUGACUUUAGUUGAGACUUGAAGAAAG